rnacentral:rRNA from 1 species
CCCUUAGAUGUUCUGGGCCGCACACGCGCUACACUGAAGGAGGCAGCGUGUACUCCUGGAUCGAAAGAUUUGAGUAACCCGCGAAUCUCCUUCGUGCUAGGGAUUGAGGUUUGCAAUUAUCCUUCAUGAACGAGGAAUUCCCAGUAAGUGCAAGUCAUAAGCUUGCGCUGACUACGUCCCUGCCCUUUGUACACACCGCCCGUCGCUACUACCGAUUGAAUGAUUUAGUGAGGACUUCGGACUGGGACCGAUGCGGCUUUCGGGCUGCGUCGGUAUUCUGGAAAGAUGUCCAAACUGUAUCAUUUAGAGGAAGUAAAAGUCGUAACA